rnacentral:rRNA from 1 species
GUGCCAGCAGCCGCGGUAAUACGAAGGGGGCGAGCGUUGUUCGGAAUUACUGGGCGUAAAGGGCGCGCAGGCGGCCUUAGAAGUCAGAUGUGAAAGCCCCGGGCUCAACCUGGGAAUGGCAUUUGAUACUCUGAGGCUGGAGUACGGGAGAGGAGAGUGGAAUUCCCAGUGUAGAGGUGAAAUUCGUAGAUAUUGGGAAGAACACCGGUGGCGAAGGCGGCUCUCUGGACCGUAACUGACGCUGAGGCGCGAAAGCGUGGGGAGCAAACAGGAUUAGAUACCCUGGUAGUCC